rnacentral:rRNA from 1 species
UACGGGGGGGGCAAGCGUUGUUCGGAAUUACUGGGCGUAAAGGGUCCGUAGGUGGCUUGCUAAGUCAGACGUGAAAUCCCUCGGCUUAACCGGGGAACUGCGUCUGAGACUGGCGAGCUUGAGUGCAGGAGAGGAACGCGGAAUUCCAGGUGUAGCGGUGAAAUGCGUAGAUAUCUGGAGGAACACCGGUGGCGAAGGCGGCGUUCUGGACUGUAACUGACACUGAAAGACGAAAGACCAGGGGAGACAAACGGGAUUAGAAA